rnacentral:rRNA from 1 species
AGUGAACGCUGGCGGUAGGCCUAACACAUGCAAGUCGAACGGCAGCACAGUAAGAGCUUGCUCUUACGGGUGGCGAGUGGCGGACGGGUGAGGAAUACAUCGGAAUCUACUUUUUCGUGGGGGAUAACGUAGGGAAACUUACGCUAAUACCGCAUACGACCUACGGGUGAAAGCAGGGGAUCUUCGGACCUUGCGCGAUUGAAUGAGCCGAUGUCGGAUUAGCUAGUUGGCGGGGUAAAGGCCCACCAAGGCGACGAUCCGUAGCUGGUCUGAGAGGAUGAUCAGCCACACUGGAACUGAGACACGGUCCAGACUCCUACGGGAGGCAGCAGUGGGGAAUAUUGGACAAUGGGCGCAAGCCUGAUCCCGCCAUACCGCGUGGGUGAAGAAGGCCUUCGGGUUGUAAAGCCCUUUUGUUGGGAAAGAAAAGCAGCAGGUUAAUACCCCGCUGUUCUGACGGUACCCAAAGAAUAAGCACCGGCUAACUUCGU